GAAAUGCGAUAUGUAAUGUGAAUUGCAGAAUUCCGUGAAUCAUCAAAUCUUCGAACGCACCUUGCGCUCCUUGGUUAUUCCAGGGAGCAUGCCUGUUUCAGUCUUAGUAUCAACCUCAAGAACGGUAGUUCUUGGAAUUGGGCUUUUCUCAGGAUCUUAGCCUGAGAUGCCUGAAAUUGAAGCAACGGUCUGAUUUGAAUUACCUUAGCUGUGUGAUAAUAGGCCCACCAAGUCUAAACCCACUGCUAUGUCAAGCCAGAUUUCGUUAAUCCAAAGUUAAAGCCGAAAGGACUUUACAACUCUAGCUGAAAUCAGGCAAGACUACCCGCUGAACUUAA
rnacentral:misc_RNA from 1 species